CAUCUGUGGUCUCAGAACCACUCUGGGUUAAUGGUGCACUUGAGCACAUCAGACUUGCAGAAAAAGCAUACUCCAGAGGAAACUGAGGCAUACUGCUCAAGGGCCAGCAGUUCCAUGUGUUGUUUUCCUCUCAUAGGUCCUGGGUACUGUUGCCACAGUGGUGAUAACUUUGCCAUGUCAUUAUCAACCAACAGUAAGAGAAGCUUUGCAGUUGAGAUAUUGUUUAGCAGAUGAAUCAUUUCUGUUGGACACUAAGUACUGCAACAAGU
rnacentral:snoRNA from 1 species